AGUGAACGCUGGCGGUAGGCCUAACACAUGCAAGUCGAACGGCAGCACAGUAAGAGCUUGCUCUUACGGGUGGCGAGUGGCGGACGGGUGAGGAAUACAUCGGAAUCUACUUUUUCGUGGGGGAUAACGUAGGGAAACUUACGCUAAUACCGCAUACGACCUACGGGUGAAAGCAGGGGAUCUUCGGACCUUGCGCGAUUGAAUGAGCCGAUGUCGGAUUAGCUAGUUGGCGGGGUAAAGGCCAACCAAGGCGACGAUCCGUAGCUGGUCUGAGAGGAUGAUCAGCCACACUGGAACUGAGACACGGUCCAGACUCCUAAGGGAGGCAGCAGUGGGGAAUAUUGGACAAUGGGCGCAAGCCUGAUCCAGCCAUACCGCGUGGGUGAAGAAGGCCUUCGGGUUGUAAAGCCCUUUUGUUGGGAAAGAAAAGCAGCAGGUUAAUACCCCGCUGUUCUGACGGUACCCAAAGAAUAAGCACCGGCUAACUUCGUG
rnacentral:rRNA from 1 species